rnacentral:ribozyme from 1 species
UAAGGUGCCCGGGGGUCACAGUAGAAGUGCUCAUGACAUAGCCCUGUCAGAUUGCAAUGAAUCUGCAAAUUCUGCU